CACACUCUUCACAGACACCAACCUGAAUUACACAGCCGCUUGGCCAAGGAGCUGAGUCAGAUUACCGCAGUCUGUUUAAUAUACAACAUCUAAAGGCUAAAGGAGCUAGAACCUCAUGCAGGCCGUUCAAAUGACAGACACACUGAGUCUGCAUCCGUCAUCUCUCGUGGUCAUCAGGACGACGGCAGCAGCUUGAGACAGAUACAGAACACUCGACUGUCUGCAGGUCCCAAUUCCCAGGAGAAGAGUGGGAGUUUGGUGUUAUGUGGAUCGAGUGAUAGUCAGCCUAACGGUACAAUCUUCAGGUACAAAAAGUGAAGACAGAUCAUUUUAUUUUCUUGGCCAGUCCUGCAGGGUUGCGGGGAAGGCUAGAGUCCAUCACAAGAAGGGCAAGACGAUGGGUAUUUCCUGGACCCUGCCUCCAGGCUGACACAGAGACAGACAACUAUUCAUGCUACCAUUCAUUUAACACGUACAAACAAUUUAGAAUCACCAGUUAAAUUACAUGCAUGGGUUUAGGUUAACUGUGGGUUAGCUUAGCUUUUUGACCAUGUUUGCUGGGUUUCCAACAGGGAUGUCCAGAUGAUGUUGAUAAGAUAACAGACAAGAGAUGGCAAAAUUUUGUCUUCAACUUUCAUUCUGGAACCACAUAUCAACCAAGACUAACAGUCGAGGCGAGACAGCCAACCGGUGGUUUCUGAAUCUGAAAAUACUUGCUGGAAAGUGAUCUUCAGAGGAAAAAGGAACAAAUAACAAACACUCUCACUGUAUAGCUUCGUUUGGGGGGGUGUUCUUACUCUUCUCUCAAACAACAAUGUUUUGUUUGUUUCAUUUUGUCCUAGUCCAGAACAAAAUGAAUAUACAAUUGUUUACCACAAACUUUCCUGUCAUAGAAAGUCUAACAAGGAUGUUAAGGCAUCACUGAAGUGGUACAUUUGACAGACACAAUCUUAUGCCUCUGUUGUCGGCUCAACUUUUAUUCUGGAGCUAUUUUUAACCAAGACCAA